GAUGAACGCUGGCGGCGUGCCUAAUACAUGCAAGUCGAGCGAACAGAUGAGGAGCUUGCUCCUCUGACGUUAGCGGCGGACGGGUGAGUAACACGUGGAUAACCUACCUAUAAGACUGGGAUAACUUCGGGAAACCGGAGCUAAUACCGGAUAAUAUAUUGAACCGCAUGGUUCAAUAGUGAAAGACGGUUUUGCUGUCUCUUAUAGAUGGAUCCGCGCCGCAUUAGCUAGUUGGUAAGGUAACGGCUUACCAAGGCAACGAUGCGUAGCCGACCUGAGAGGGUGAUCGGCCACACUGGAACUGAGACACGGUCCAGACUCCUACGGGAGGCAGCAGUAGGGAAUCUUCCGCAAUGGGCGAAAGCCUGACGGAGCAACGCCGCGUGAGUGAUGAAGGUCUUCGGAUCGUAAAACUCUGUUAUUAGGGAAGAACAAAUGUGUAAGUAACUAUGCACGUCUUGACGGUACCUAAUCAGAAAGCCAUGGCUAACUACGUG
rnacentral:rRNA from 1 species